CUACCCAAACGGUGGCCCUCCCCCUCCUCCACUCUCCGCCGCUGCCACCACCCUAAACCCGCCGGAAAUUUCCCAAAUCAUCACAUGGUCCCCCUCCUCUCCUCUUGUUCUUCCACGUCACUCAAAUUGUACAAAUCUCGUCAUUUCAAAUCGAUUCACGCGUUUUGCUUCCUUUAUUUUCUUUGCCUGAACAAAAAUCCGAAUCCCUUAGAUAAAUGUUGGAAAAUGGGAGUCGUUGGAUUAAAAUUUUGAUCCAAGACUUCCAUUUUAUGAUUUUUGUUUACAAAAGCGAUUUUCGAGUCUUGUUGGUGACCACACAUUUUCUUGGAGGGGAAGGCAGAACACUCGAGAGGCUAUAUAUAGGUGAGAAUAUUUUCUAGUUGAGGGGAAUUUUCGGAUAGAGUGAGUUUUGGAGAAAAAUUAGGGUUUGAUUUUAGGGUUUUUGAUUUUUGCUUUCUUCAUCUUUUUCGAUUGAGAUUCCAGAAAAAAAAAGAUAAAAAAUUUUUUGAGUUCCUUUCUUGUACUUAAUUCCAUUUCGAUACCAGAAAAUAUCAAAAAAGUUUAGUUUGUAUUCUUCUCUGAAUUUUUGUUGAAGAAUGGAGUUCGAUUGAGGAGUCGUUGAGUUUGUCGCUGCUCGAGGUGUCGAUUUCCGGCUACUGUUACCUUUUCAGUUCGAUUUCAGAUUUGUUGCCUGAUUUUCUCAUUGUAUAUUCACGCCGAAGUUUAAUCGAAAGUAUUUUCAGCAAAUCCCCCCUUGGAAGUGUAUCUGGGCGCUUCAUCCCGCUAUAGCAGCAGCAACAAACCAGCUCUCUUGGUCUCCGAUUAACACACCUACACCUAGAGCAACCAUUACACAGCCUCUUUGAUUAGGUGAACCGGGUUUGACUUGGAGCGAAACUUGUGAAGCAGCUUGGAGUUGGACCAACUUGUAUAACUUUUCGUAUUCGGGAAUUUACCUUGGUAGAACGACUUGAUAAGUGGAGGGUUCUGUAAGACUUGAAAUAGGAUUUUGCUGUUCUGCUAUGUACUGUUAUCUACUUCAGUUGGUCAAAGUAGUAGGUUGGUGGGGAAUAAUGUUCAACAUCUGAGACACCAUGAAAUGGUUGCGGAUGCUCUAGGGAUGCACUUCGAUUUUGAAACCAACGAAAGUGUUGAACAUUCCUAUAAUAAGCUGGAGAGGAUUUUUCCAUGUGGUUUCUUCGAUGUGAUGGAAUACCUUCCAAUUCACCUUGUACACGAGGCGCGACUUGGAGGCCUGGUUCAAUGCAGGUGGAUGUAUCCAUUCGAGAGGACUAUCGGCAAGUGUAAACGAUUUGUUAAACAGAGGAAUAGGAUUGAAGGAUCCAUAUGCGAAGCCUAUCUUGCAAAGGAAACUGCCCAUUUUUGUUCUUACUACUUUGACAGUCAUGUGCCAUGUGCUAGAAAUAGGCCCAAUCGACACAAUGUGGAUUGAGAUUGAUCCAUUAUAUCCACCAAUGUCCAUAUUCAAUCAACCAAGCCGAAGUUCUAAAGAUCGAGCACAAAGGGGCCUAACUAGUAUGGAGUACAAAUCAGCUUCAAAUCAUGUGUUGCUAAAUUGUCCGGAAGUUCAACCCUUUCUUAAGUAAGUGUUGACGUAAGAUUAAUUUAUAUGGGCUACUAUUUAAUUUGGUUGAUGCAACUAACAAGUAAUUUUCAACGUGUUGCUUAGUGACUUUGUGAGUCAAUUUGGUUAUGGUGCUGUAUAUUCUACAUUUGAGGCAUGGUUUAAAAAGUGUGUAAGUGCAUCUUACAUACUUUCUCA